UCAAUAAACUUUAACUUUUAAAUUUCAAAACUCAAAUAAUUUAAAACAAAAGGAUCUAGAGAAACGAGAUCUGAAAAAUACAAAAUUGCUCUUCAAUCUUCAUCUUCUUCCCCUUUUCAAUCGUGAGACGCAAUCACGACGGUUGUGGUGGCUAGAGGCGGCGAGCGGCGGUGAGAGGACAACAAAUGAAAGAGGACCACCACUUUUCAGGCAUUUGACGGGAAGAAGUGGGAGAAGUUUAAUAGCAAAAAGGUUGUCUCACUGGCAUUUGCAAGGAUGCAAGGAAAGAACAAAAAAAAUUUUCGUACAAAGGUGAAGAAGCAGCACAGUUAUCUGCUGUUGGGGACUCUAAACAUGUCAAUAUUUCAUGUGAAUGUGUAUAUAUGUGAAUGUAUAUUAGGUACUGUUAAUUAGUUUUGUCAAUGUUGUAAUAAAGCCUAAAAAAGAUGUGAAUGCAUAUGUGAAUCAGUUUCUUAGAAUUGCUCUUAUGAUAGAUCAACCAUCUAGAAUAUUUUUACCAGAUCAUCUAUCAAAGCUUCUUUGUAUUUGUCCUC